UAAAAGUUUGCUGGAAGACAUUCUGCCACGUGAUGCUGGCAGCAGCCACGGGCAUCUCGCGUUUAACACAGAUCUUGACUGCGCUGGGAGCCGGGGGAGAGACCGGUCUAGAAGGGGACUGUCUAGGUUUAUGGAGAAGAGGAUUCUCUGAGAGUCCGCGCUCCAAAGUCAUGCACCCUGCGACUGAACACCAGCAGUAGCAGAGUUUCCCGUGCUGCAUAUCUUCAGUAAUACUUGGUGUUGUGACUGCUUUUAAUCUGACCAAAGUGGAAAACGAUCCUCGUGGUGAUGGAUGUGGAACAGAGCCGGAAGUGCUGAUCUGCACAGCUGCUGAGCCAAGACAGGAAGGGCCCAGCACUGAAGCACACAGAUGCCUCACUUCUGCCAAGACAUAUGGAGAGGAGCCUCACUUCAGUCCGUCUUUCAAAGACAAUACCACCUUUGGAUCAUGUUACAUAGUUCAAGCUCAUUAUGAAACUGUCAAAGCCAUCCAGCUGGUCAGUGGCCUUUUGGAGAUUCAAACUAAAGAUAGCAGCACAGCAUGUCUUUCCCUCACUGCACACAUUCCACUCUGCUUCCUGGGUUCAAGGAACCAAGAAAUGUGCUCCAGUGGAAGGAAAUUCCAGAGGCUAAGCUACUGUCAAGAUAAAAUGCAGCAACACACAUUGUCCACACGUCCGUCCUUUCAUUAUGCAGGAAAUUAGCUAAUAUACUUGGAAUGCGCACUUUUCCUGCUCAAGGUUUUUAUUUUCCAUUCUUUUUCAGAAAAGUUUCUUUGUAUUAGCCUACCAAGAGGACAUCAGUAGU